rnacentral:rRNA from 1 species
AUUGAACGCUGGCGGCAGGCUUAACACAUGCAAGUCGAGCGAGAGGCGGACGGGCGAGCAAUGUAUGGGAAACUGCCUGAUGGACGGGGAUAACUACUGUAAACGGUAGCUACUACCGCAUACCAUCAGAUCUGCCCAGAGGGGAUUAGCUAGUAGGUGGGGUAAAGGCUCACCUAGGCGACGCUCCCUAGCUGGUCUGAGAGGAUGACCAGCCACACUGGAACUGAGACACGGUCCAGACUCCUACGGGAGGCAGCAGUGGGGAAUAUUGCGCAAUGGGCGAAAGCCUGAUGCAGCCAUGCCGCGUGAGUGAAGAAGGCUUUCGGGUUGUAAAGCACUGUCGGCGGGGAGGCGUUACUCGAAGAAGAAGCAACGGCUAACUCCGUGCCAGCAGCCGCGGUAAUUC